rnacentral:rRNA from 1 species
ACGUAGGUGGCAAGCGUUGUCCGGAAUGAUUGGGCGUAAAGGGUGCGUAGGCGGCCUGGUAAGUCUGGAGUGAAAGUCCUGAUUUUAAGGGGGGAAUUGCCUUGGAUACUGUCGGGCUAGAGUGCAGUAGAGGUAAGUGGAAUUUUUGGUGUAGCGGUGAAAUGCGUAGAGAUCGCGAGGAACACCAGUGGCGAAGGCGAGUCACGGGACUGUAACAGACGCUGAGGCGCGAAAGUGUGGGGAGCAAACAG